rnacentral:rRNA from 1 species
AGCAUAGAGAGCUUGCUCUCUGAUGGCGAGUGGCGAACGGGUGAGUAAUAUAUCGGAACGUGCCUAGUAAUGGGGAAUAACUAAUCGAAAGAUUAGCUAAUACCGCAUACGACCUACGGGUGAAAGCAGGGGAUCUUCGGACCUUGCGCUAUCAGAUGAGCCUGCGUCGGAUUAGCUAGUUGGUAGGGUAAAGGCCUACCAAGGCGACGAUCCGUAGCUGGUCUGAGAGGAUGAUCAGCCACACUGGAACUGAGAUACGGCCCAGACUCC